AAUACCACCCUUUAACGUUUGAUGUUCUAACCUAGGCCCAUAAACUGGGUCGGGGACCGUGUCUGGUGGGUAGUUUGACUGGGGCGGUCUCCUCCUAAAGAGUAACGGAGGAGCACGAAGGUUGGCUAAGCAUGGUCGGACAUCAUGCGGUUAGUGCAAAGGCAUAAGCCAGCUUGACUGCGAGAGUGACGGCUCGAGCAGGUACGAAAGUAGGUCUUAGUGAUCCGGUGGUUCUGAAUGGAAGGGCCAUCGCUCAACGGAUAAAAGGUACUCCGGGGAUAACAGGCUGAUACCGCCCAAGAGUUCAUAUCGACGGCGGUGUUUGGCACCUCGAUGUCGGCUCAUCACAUCCUGGGGCUGAAGUAGGUCCCAAGGGUAUGGCUGUUCGCCAUUUAAAGUGGUACGCGAGCUGGGUUUAGAACGUCGUGAGACAGUUCGGUCCCUAUCUGCCGUGGGCGUUGGAAGAUUGAGAGGGGUUGCUCCUAGUACGAGAGGACCGGAGUGAACGCACCACUGGUGUUCGGGUUGUCAUGCCAAUGGCAUUGCCCGGUAGCUAAGUGCGGAAGAGAUAACCGCUGAAAGCAUCUAAGCGGGAAACUUGCC
rnacentral:rRNA from 1 species